rnacentral:misc_RNA from 1 species
AACUUUCUAAGCUCAUUGGAUCCUUCAGCAAUUGAUUCAAUGCAAGGAGUAUUGGGUGCACAACCUUAUGUUCCGAGAACAAAAGAGCUUGAAGACUUUCGACUUCGAUGGAAAAAGAAAUUCCAUCAAGAUCAUCCAGAUAUAGUUGAUGCAGAGUUGAACAUUUAUGGACUUUGGGCUUAUGAUGCUGCUAUGGCAUUAGCUAUGGCAAUUGAGGAAGCUGGGACUACACACUUUGGCUUUAAAAGGGCAAAUGUUUCCAGCAAUUCAACAGAUCUUGAAACUCUUAAAUUCUCUCAAAAUGGUCCAAAUCUUGCUCGUGCAUUAUCAAAUACCAGUUUCAAAGGCCUCAUAGGAGAUUUCCUUUUUAUUAUUAAUCAAUUACGGUCAUCCUUUUUAUUAUUAAUCAAUUACGGUCA